UUUUUUUUUUCCAACAGGAAGAAAAUAAACUUCCUAAAGCAUUCUUUUAAAAUAAACAGGAGCCACAGCAAUGGAAGUAACUUUAAAAAAUUGCAUCCAGUCUUUUCAUCUCAUUAAAAACAAUGCUUGUUAAAGAACAAAAAGUUGGCUUGUCACAGAAAAAGACCACUCCCUGGGACUGGAGCAGACAAAUGCUAUGCUAGCCACUUCUGGUCACUCAUGAUUUAGAUAACGAGGAGUAACCACUGACACUGUAAACUGCUAUUAAGUGAAAAUCGGGAGGAGGGUUCUGACUGGUUUCAAAGAGAAAGCUUUAAAACCUUAGGCUGUCUAUUUCUCAAACACCCAAUAUCCUUUAUCGGGUGGGAAAAACAUAAUACAGUGUUGUACCAUUCAAGCACUUUCCGACAUCAACAGUCACACCAUCCACCCACUCCCACCUACUUGCAGGGUACCAAAUGUUCUCCCUAGAGACCCAGGAUGGGGAGGGCUGAGCGCUGCCUCUUGCCUUGUCGGCGGGGACAGACUUUGGCCCUCUAAGAUAAGGAUGUAGAGAAUCCCUAAUCAAACAGGCCGCCCCAAAACAGCUGCCACCCAAUGCCCGGGAAGGCAGCAGUGGAAGAGUUCGGCACCUGGGAUAAAAAGUUGGACGCUCAGCUUUCCCGGGGCAUGACAGUCACAUCACAAGGAGGAAUCACCUGCUUGCAUGGAAGUAGGAAUAGCUGAAUUGGGUGGCCUGGACUGCUGAGAAGCAAAGCACUUUGUCACGUAGGUGGGAAGCAGGCUGGGGCUUCUCUGUCUCCUUUAUGUGUCUGAGCAGGUAAGUGGCAUGACUCAGCAGGUACUGGGAGGUACUAUGUGCUCUCAACAUAGUACCCAAACCUGACCAAUAAUAGAAUUUCAUGGAGAGUUUAAAAACAUUCCUACCUCAGCCACUAACUUUCUUUAGCUGCUACUCUGGUUAAGGAUCUGAUUCAACAGGGCUUCAGGACAUGGAGAAAAAAAAAUCCUAGGUGAUUCUGAUGACCAGUAAGGUUUAGAGACUUGUUCUAGAAUAUAUUCCUGCCCAAAAGUCCGAUGGUUUGAAACAUUUCCAUAUUGUCUGAGAGGGGGAGUAUAAAAUUAGAACUGGGGGUGUCCUAAGUCAUCUUAACCACCGUGAAGGAAUAACUUUUGUGGAACUGUCUAGAUUACAUGAACCUUAUCACAUACACUGUAAAGCCUGCGUCUUGAUUUCGGUGACAAAAUUUUCAUCAAGGUAAAGGAGCAAAGCUCACCAGUACCUUGUUCAAGUAAUAGUACGAUGCUCCGUCCCAAGCACUAACCAAACUAUUCCUUUAACUGGGAAUCGUUAUUACAUUAAAUUAAAAUGAUUAGGCAUGCUUUUCUCUUCUUCGUAGCCCCUCCUUAGCUUCUGUUAUUGAAGGCAUAUUAAUAACUACCCCUCUAGGAUGCAACCUCUGAGCACUCUGAUGAGAAAGAACAUGAGAUGAUGGGCCCUUAGGACUGUGAGCUGAGAAUGGCCAUUAGAAUCCUAACAUUAAGUCAGCACGUGGAGAGAAUGGGAAUUAGAAUUCUGAUGGGAGAUGGCUUGAGGGGAUCAACCAAAUCUAAGAUUCUAGUAGUGAUUUAUUACAUAUUACUGUAAUUGAAACCUUAAUUCUGCAAUUUAUAAUUGAGUUUGGCAGUAUUGAAAAUUUAGAGAGAGGGAAGAGAUGAGAAAGGCUUGGGGAAGCCAGAGGACAUGAGCACAACACAAGCCCAGGUGGAAGAUGAAGAGGAUGGAGACAGAGAGUAAGAAGGUUGUUAAGGGAGAACAAUACCCAAGAUAACAAUUGUCUCCUUCAGCCGUGUAUGGUCCU
ensembl:lncRNA